UUGCGAAUAAUUCAGUUGUAUGGGAAAGUACUGGCAAACGCUGUCAAUAAGAAAGGAAUCACAGCUCUCCAUCUACUAGCGGACAAGCCUUCGGCUUUCAAAAGCGGGAGUCUUCUUCUUCAUGGAUUCCGCAAAAGAAUCAUUUAUAACUGUAUAUUUAUUGAUGAGCACGAAGUGGAACAAAAUGUUGAUCACCCGAAAGAAGGGAAGGCGCUGGAUCAAUAUUUUCCCGAGAACUACAAAACUUGCAUCGGCUUCUUUCUAAUCUUUGGGGGUUUUUUUAGAUCAUUUGUACUGCCAGUACUCGCUAUGAUCAGAGGUAAG